GACGAACGCUGGCGGCGUGCUUAACACAUGCAAGUCGAACGGAAAGGCCCUGCUUUUGUGGGGUGCUCGAGUGGCGAACGGGUGAGUAACACGUGAGUAACCUGCCCUUGACUUUGGGAUAACUUCAGGAAACUGGGGCUAAUACCGGAUAGGAGCUCCUGCUGCAUGGUGGGGGUUGGAAAGUUUCGGCGGUUGGGGAUGGACUCGCGGCUUAUCAGCUUGUUGGUGGGGUAGUGGCUUACCAAGGCUUUGACGGGUAGCCGGCCUGAGAGGGUGACCGGCCACAUUGGGACUGAGAUACGGCCCAGACUCAUACGGGAGGCAGCAGUGGGGAAUAUUGCACAAUGGGCGGCAGCCUGAUGCAGCAACGCCGCGUGCGGGAUGACGGCCUUCGGGUUGUAAACCGCUUUCGCCUGUGACGAAGCGUGAGUGACGGUAAUGGGUAAAGAAGCACCGGCUAACUACGUG
rnacentral:rRNA from 1 species